UACAGAGGUCUCAAGCGUUGUUCGGAUUCAUUGGGCGUAAAGGGUGCGUAGGUGGCAUGGUAAGUCGGAUGUGAAAUCCCGGGGCUCAACCCCGGAACUGCAUUCGAUACUGCCAGGCUAGAGUACUGGAGAGGAGAUUGGAAUUUACGGUGUAGCAGUGAAAUGCGUAGAUAUCGUAAGGAAGACCGGUGGCGAAGGCGGAUCUCUGGACCAAUACUGACACUGAAACGCGAAAGCCAGGGGAGCAAACGG
rnacentral:rRNA from 1 species